AUGUGUUUGCAGGCCGAAGAAAUCCCGUGCACCAUACUCUACUUGAUCAAAGGCCAGAAGGUGGACGUGAGAAAGGGGAUGAUAAUGAACCCCUUGCAACCCACGUUCCACAACCAGCCGAUCCCCGCUAGGCACUUCAGGGUUAACUUGUCCAGUGUGAAAUCGGGGCACGAGGAUUUGCCUCCUCCAAUACAGCAUAUGGGAGAGGACGACGAGACUCCGCCGCGGAUUGGAAGCUGCAAUGGUUGGGUGCUGCUAUGGCCGAAGAAUCUUAUUCGUCUAGAGCCGGCCGAGAGCACACCAAUAACCACACAUCAACAAGCAUGUGCGGAGACUGAGGGAGUCCUGGAUUAG
rnacentral:rRNA from 1 species